AAUACAAAAUAGCUAUGGUCAACAUGGGUGGGCGCGGCUAGGUUUUAUGGGCGUGGUUUAACUUUAUGAUGGCUGCUUGCAAGCUCUAUACAAAGAAGAAUUUCUAAUAAUUUAUCUUCACAAUAUAUGCUGAUGGAACUUAGCUGUGAUAGGAACCACAUCUUUUAUAUAUUUUUUAAAGCUUAAAGGACUUUGGAACUUUCCCUAUCUCCACCUCAGUCAAAAAGACCCUGUAUUCAUACAGCCUCCCAGGCUAGUAUAUAAGUUCAUAUUGCUCUCUGAUCUGGUGCCCCUAUCUUGUUAAAGACUUCAAACUAUUCUAAUAAGUUCAGCAGAUGGUUACAAAGUACAUUUUGAAUGCACAACCAGACAAUAGAUUUUAAUAUCUAGUGACAGUGAUGAUGAGCUUCCUUCGUUUCUUCCUUUUUACAAUUGUCACUAUUACCCAUCGCUUCUACCCCUACUGAGUCACCUACCCCCUAACCUGUUGUUAAUCAAACAUUACAUAUUUUACAGUGUUAUCAAACUCAAUGCUGGUUAUUAGGAUGAGAUAUUGAAUACAGUUAACAGCUCAGCUCUUAAUGUAAAUACAGAUAACAGUUCCACUUGAGUGCCAACUGAUGUAACUUUGUGAGUUAACAUUAUGCAUGAAUCAAAGUGAUAGAGAGAAUAUUUGGCAUGAUAUUUUUAAUAGUGUAUCUGAAGUUAUGUUUCAUGUCCAUUGAUGCAAGAUGUCUUUCAUGUGCAUGACUAUAAGAAGAUCUAACAUUUUGAGAUCCACCCUGUGUGGCUAUAGCAGGAGAUCUUUUUACCUAAUAAAAUGCUUGUAGUAAUUGUGUGUAUGUGUCUUUGUGCAUGCAUGGUAAUAGUUAUUUGUGUAUUUUAGUAUUCAAUUUGUUUUAGGUUAAGUAUCUUGGUAAAGCAGGUUAUGAUAGAGGUGGUCUUUGAAGGGAGUUUUUUAUGACUUAGCAUAUGGCAUCAAGUCUUCUCUUUUUAAUUAGCAGGAACAAUUCAUUUCUCAUAAGGCAUGACAUAUUGCUUUGCAGAGCCUAGAGUAAUAGUUUGAAAAGAUAGGAUUCCUUAUGUCAAUGGCACUGGCUCAGGAUGGUACUGGUUUUUGUUUUUGCUUAUAUAUUUGUGGCAUAGAGCCUAGAGGUUGAUAGGAAGCAGUUCCUGACUAUGAAGUAUCUAUUUUUAACAAAGAUAAAAGAGAUUCACAAUGAUGCCUCUUUAAGGGAGAUGGUAAUCAUUGAUAUUGUCUCACUCCAUUACACCAUCCUGCAUUGCACUGCUGAGUUGGAUCAAUUGAAGAAGGGCCUCUCAUCACUCGGCAUCUUGUAUAUUAUUAAUCAUAAUUCCAGUAUAAUGGCUCUUCAGUAGCCCUGAUAAUUGGUGGUUAACAGCAGGUAA